UACGUAGGGUGCAAGCGUUAAUCGGAAUUACUGGGCGUAAAGCGUGCGCAGGCGGUUUUGUAAGUCUGUCGUGAAAUCCCCGGGCUCAACCUGGGAAUUGCGAUGGAGACUGCAAGGCUAGAAUCUGGCAGAGGGGGGUAGAAUUCCACGUGUAGCAGUGAAAUGCGUAGAGAUGUGGAGGAACACCGAUGGCGAAGGCAGCCCCCUGGUCAAGAUUGACGCUCAUGCACGAAAGGCGUGGGGAGCAAACGAGAUACGAACCCGGGUAUCCAGAACCGAAU
rnacentral:rRNA from 1 species